UGGGGAAUUUUGGACAAUGGGCGAAAGCCUGAUCCAGCAAUGCCGCGUGUGUGAAGAAGGCCUUCGGGUUGUAAAGCACUUUUGUCCGGAAAGAAAUCCUUGGCUCUAAUACAGUCGGGGGAUGACGGUACCGGAAGAAUAAGCACCGGCUAACUACGUGCCAGCAGCCGCGGUAAUACGUAGGGUGCAAGCGUUAAUCGGAAUUACUGGGCGUAAAGCGUGCGCAGGCGGUUUGCUAAGACCGAUGUGAAAUCCCCGGGCUCAACCUGGGAACUGCAUUGGUGACUGGCAGGCUAGAGUAUGGCAGAGGGGGGUAGAAUUCCACGUGUAGCAGUGAAAUGCGUAGAGAUGUGGAGGAAUACCGAUGGCGAAGGCAGCCCCCUGGGCCAAGUACUGACGCUCAUGCACGAAAGCGUGGGGAGCAAACAGGAUUAGAUACCCUGGUAGUCCACGCCCUAAACGAUGUCAACUAGUUGUUGGGGAUUCAUUUCCUUAGUAACGUAGCUAACGCGUGAAGUUGACCGCCUGGGGAGUACGGUCGCAAGAUUAAAACUCAAAGGAAUUGACGGGGUCAUAGCUGUUUCCU
rnacentral:rRNA from 1 species